rnacentral:misc_RNA from 1 species
CGCCGCGCCGACCGGCCCACCGGGCCGUCCCGGCCUGAACUGCCCGCCUGGCCCGAACUGGCCGCCGGGUCUUCCCGUUCCGAUCACUCCAGGCGACGGACGCCGGUUGAUGAUGGUGUUGAUCACGUUCGUGUUGUGAAUAUUCGUGAACAGGAAACGGUUGAUCGGCGGACGCACGUAGAUCGGCGGGGGGCGGAAGAAGGGGGGCGGCAGGAGAGCCGGCUGCCGCGCGGCAA